GGGGAUGACGUCAAGUCCUCAUGGCCUUUAUGCUUAGGGCUACACACGUGCUACAAUGGGUGGUACAAAGAGAAGCCAACUCGCGAGAGCGCGCCAAUCUCAAAAAGCCAUCCUCAGUUCGGAUUGGAGUCUGCAAUUCGACUCCAUGAAGUUGGAAUCGCUAGUAAUCGCGGAUCCAGCAUGCCGCGGUGAAUACGUUCCCGGGCCUU
rnacentral:rRNA from 1 species